GGUUCCUUUGGACUGCACCGGCUAAAAGAGGGUGUUACUUUCCGAGAGGCAAGCCGCAUAUGACGGUUGACAUUCUGCUAGGGGUCGGUGCACGGAUCGUAUAGCAGCCUGGUGGUGCAGCAGAGGCACAUCUAAAAGUUGCAGGACCCUGGAGGACUGGAGUUUGACACCCCUGCCCCAGUGCAUCGGUAAAAACAACUCAUAUAAUCAUGUUAAGGUUGUAACUUUCAGUUUAAUCGGCAGCUAACAAAAUU